rnacentral:rRNA from 1 species
AGUGGCGAACGGGUGAGUAAUAUAUCGGAACGUGCCCAGUCGUGGGGGAUAACGUAGAGAAAUUUACGCUAAUACCGCAUACGAUCUAAGGAUGAAAGCGGGGGCUUCGCAAGGACCUCGCGCGAUUGGAGCGGCUGAUAUCAGAUUAGGUUGUUGGUGAGGUAAAAGCUCACCAAGCCGACGAUCUGUAGCUGGUUUGAGAGAACGACCAGCCACACUGGGACUGAGACACGGCCCAGACUCCUACGGGAGGCAGCAGUGGGGAAUUUUGGACAAUGGGCGAAAGCCUGAUCCAGCAAUGCCGCGUGUGGGAAGAAGGCCUUCGGGUUGUAAACCACUUUUGUACGGAACGAAAAAGUUUGCUUUAAUAAAGUGGGCUCAUGACGGUACCGUAAGAAUAAGCACCGGCUAACUACGUGCCAGCAGCCGCGGUAAUACGUAGGGUGCGAGCGUUAAUCGGAAUUACUGGGCGUUAAGCGUGCGCAGGCGGUUAUAUAAGACAGUUGUGAAGUCCCCGGGCUCAACCUGGGAAUUGCAUCUGUGACUGUAUAGCUAGAGUACGGUAGAGGGGGAUGGAAUU